UGACAGGUGUCACCUCAGGAGAGGUUCCCCUUCGCUCAGCCUUUGGGCCUGCAGGGUCUCCGGUGCUCCGCUUUCCUUCCCAUCGCUGUUCCAGGAAGGGAUAGAAACAUCCCCCUCUUCCCUCCUGAGGAAGAAGAAUAACUUUGAGGAUAUGAAGCAAGCUGUGAACCACCAUCCCAGGAAAAUACAG